GACAACAUCAACAACACUCUGCUUGCUUCUCACCCAAGUUUUACCCCUUCACAUAUGUAUUUUUCCUUCAACCUAUUCUUAGAUUGCUCUUUCGACUCUACAAAGGUAUGUGAAACCAGAUUACCACACCUGAUAAAGAAUAUAAACACAGCAGAGGUGGAGCCUAUUUUUCCUUUCCUCCAAUCAGAAUUGAACCUGAAACUCACUUUGGUCAACAGAACUUUAGCAGACGUGAGUUUCCAGGCAAAAUGAGAGCAGAAAAACAAAGCCAUUUGAACAAAGGGAAGCAACAGUUUUUGUUGUACGUAAUUCAUUCUCUGUAUGAUGUUUCCUUCUCAAGGAGGAAUUUAGCUCCAAGUUAUACUCAAGAAGAGAAAAAAGGAAAAGUUCCAGCAAGCUUUAGGGCUCUUUAUCCACCUUUGUGAAGGAAGAUUGACAGCACCCUCUCUCUUUGUUACAAAAUUGUUCACGCAGCUCCGUGGUCCCUGCGAAGAGCCGGCUGUCAACUGUUGUGGCCUUUCAGAGCCGGGCUUUUUCCUCCGUGGCCAGCUUUUUCACCCACAGUUAGCCACCAGGGGGCCGCCUGUUUGGAAUAAAUGGUGCAGACUCCCCAGCUUUCCUCCAAACCAACCAAAACAUCCCGGGGCAGCUUUGGAGCAAAGCCCGGGAACUUCCCUGCAAAGGAGAACAACUUCUCUCCAGCUACAAAAACUGCAAGUCCUAUGGUGCAGCCUCAUUACGAGGGAAGAAUAAAGCACGGAGUUAGAGGCAAGGACCCAGGGGAAACAGGGUCCGUGGAGUCUGAAGGAAGAGAUCCUUCCCUCUCACCAGGGGGCCGCGAGGUCUGCGAUUUUUCCUCUUGAAGCGCGCUGAAACACUGCAUCCAGGCGCCGGGAACAAUUCUAGGCUUCUUGACAGUUGUGGUUGUUAAUGCUGUCAGCAGGGGUGGUGGCUUCUCGCCCCUUUCCGUGAGAUGCUCACAAGAAGCUGUAAUAAAACAUACGUCACCGGCUGGAAAUCUAGAAAACUCUCCAAUAAAUCAUCUAUACGUUGUUCAGACAGUUGAGGCUACAAAUCGUCAUAGGUCUAUUAAUUGUUUCUUAUACGAAUAAAUGUGUGUAUUGAAGGAGAAAGUCGGAAUUAUUUUAAUAUCAUCGAUGAGAAAAUAAUUACACUCUGUCGUCAAAAUAGUU
rnacentral:lncRNA from 1 species